CUGCGCUGAUAACACUAGUGCCAAGACCUCUACAUCAUCUCUGUGAAGGUAAUCAAGGGGCGCCUGAAUAGGCUCCCUUCUGCCUGCGUUGAUGACAUGGUUAUGGCCACUGUCAAGAAGGGCAAGCCAGACCUGAGGAAGAAAGUCAAGCCGGCUAUCAUUGUGAGACAGUGUAAGCCAUGUCGCCAUAAGGACAAUGUCUUCAUGUACUUUGAAGGUGCUGGAGCAGCUGAGCGGACAGUCACCGUUGUUCUCCAAGGCGAGGUACAUUGUCAGGUCAUUCGGUAUCAGGCGUAAUGAGAAGAUUGCGUGCUACGUGACUAUCAGGGGCGAGAAGGCGAUGCAGCUGCUGGAGAUUGGCCUGAAGGUGAAGGACUAUGAGCUGCUCAGGAGAAACUUCAGCGACACCUAAUGCUUUGGCUUUGGUAUCCAGGAGCACAUCAAUCUCGGCAUGAACUGCCAAGACUUUGAGUGUGUGGUGAUAGCAGCUGACACAGAGCCGAUCGAAAUCUUCCUGAUGAUAACUAGGUACAAAUUCUGUCCAUAUGCUGCAUCAUGUAUAGUACUGC